AUGCCCAGGCUGGGAGAGCGGCCUGACCCACGGUCGGCAAGAACCGAGCCAGGCUUUCAGGGGAAACUGCCAGCAUUCAUUAGACAAGCAAGAGCCACUCGCUGCGACCUCAGCACGAAUCAGAGACUCCGGCAGGGACUCGUGGGUCCUCCUGCGAGGCACACCGGACGCCAGGCUUCUGCCCUAACCGCGGAGUGCCAAGUUCUGCAUCACGUGUGUAGACCACGCCUGCAAUCCCCGAAUCUGAAAAACAGAAAGAGUCUUCUAAGAACCGCAGCACUCGUGGGCCUCACAUGGAAUCAGCACGCACCCCCCCAUGCAGCAGUGGACACCCAGGGCACCCCCCCAAUGCAGCAGUGGACACCCAGGGCACCCCCCAGUGCAGCAGUGGACACCCAGGGCACCCCCCAGUGCAGCAGUGGACACCCAGGGCACCCCCCAGUGCAGCAGUGGACACCCAGGGCACCCCCCCCAGUGCAGCAAUGGACACCCAGGGCACCCCCAAUGCAGCAGCGGACACCCAGAGCCCCCCCCAAUGCAGCAGUGGACACCCAGGGCACCCCCUGCAGCACCCAGGAACCCCCCCAAUGCAGCAAUGGACACCCAGGAGCCCCCGGAGGUGGACGGCCCGCCAGGCUCCAGUCCGCGCCGACAGGUUCCCCGCAAGACCGCCUGGCCGACACGGGCUGCCGCUCUGAUUUUAAAUGCGAGCACUCCCGUAGCACCCAGACUCGUCACCCCCCGCAACUUUCAGUCGUUUGUAGCAGUACUUAGUGUCCGACAGAAACCACUCGGUCUGCCAAACAAUAUCGCGACUGCAAGGCUUCUCUCACUGUUGGCGGAUCGAUGAUGACACGGCACAGCCAUCACCCCCGUGGCAACAGCUGCCAGGAGCUAUCGGAGGAAAAUUGCACACGGAGCCGCCGGCUCUGGGGCGGCCAUGCCUCAGCUUCCUCCGGGCUAUGCUGUGUCUGCAAGCCCGGUGCGCGCUGGGGACCUCCGACCCCGCGCGGCGCCCAGGCUGCAGCCGCGGCCUCCUCCCGCCACCCGAGCGCCCACCGCGCUCCGCACCCCGCGCCCGGCACGGCCCAACUGGCUACCUUCUCGGCAAACGCCGCCCGAGCCGGGACCCAAGCGCUCAAGCGGGCUGCAAGGCCAGGGCGCCCCGGCGAGACGGCCUUGCUGUUCCAGUAGCCACCGCACGCCGGCCGCCCGGGCCUCAGCUCCCGCUGGCCGCGGGGCCCGAGUCUCCGGCCCGGGCUGGCCCAGGUCCUCGGCCGCCGCCCUUCGGCCGCUCGCGAGGGCGGGCAUUUAUGCGGGAGCGAGGAAGAUGCCGGCCGGCGCUACUCCUCUACCUUCCCGGAUACCCGCGCCACGCGCCGGCCCGCCGCACUGUCAUGGCAACCCACUACGGCCGACACCGGAAGCAGAACCUUCAUCUGGAAGUGACCCUAUCCCAGAGUCCCAGGCGCCGGGCGAAGCCCCGCUCAGUGUCUUUCCCAGUCGUCCCCUGU
rnacentral:lncRNA from 1 species